AGAACGAACGCUGGCGGCAUGCCUAACACAUGCAAGUCGAACGAGACCUUUCGGGGUCUAGUGGCGCACGGGUGCGUAACGCGUGGGAAUCUGCCCCUUGGUUCGGAAUAACAGUUAGAAAUGACUGCUAAUACCGGAUGACGACGUAAGUCCAAAGAUUUAUCGCCGAGGGAUGAGCCCGCGUAGGAUUAGCUAGUUGGUGAGGUAAUGGCUCACCAAGGCGACGAUCCUUAGCUGGUCUGAGAGGAUGAUCAGCCACACUGGGACUGAGACACGGCCCAGACUCCUACGGGAGGCAGCAGUGGGGAAUAUUGGACAAUGGGCGAAAGCCUGAUCCAGCAAUGCCGCGUGAGUGAUGAAGGCCUUAGGGUUGUAAAGCUCUUUUACCAGGGAUGAUAAUGACAGUACCUGGAGAAUAAGCACCGGCCAACUACGUGCCAGCCAGCCGC
rnacentral:rRNA from 1 species